AAAUUUAUAUUUUGACUUUUGUCUCACUAAUCACUUAUAAACGCAUCACAAUUUGGGACGUAUAACUUAUAAACUUACGACUUAUAAACUUUUGACCUAUAAACUUAUAACUUUUACUUUAUAAGUAGUCGACUUAUAACCACGUGACUUAUAACUUAUAAGUGACUAACUUAUAACUUAUAAAUUCGGAUUUAUAUGUCGACUUAUAAUUAUAUGUCAUUUGCGCAAACUCUCUAUUAUCAAAAACGUUAUAAACAUGACGUUAAAAAAAUCUGACGUUC